CUAGGCGUGCAUGAUCUUAGCGUGACGCAAGAACUGCAACACUGUGUCCUUUAUCGUUUCGAAGACCACGUAUACCUUCGAGACCAACAUCACACAGAAAACAUCCACAUAAUCCCAGACGCCGAAAUAGAUUAAUCAUUGCAGUUUUCAAACUAGUGAAAUGACGUCACGUGACGGGCACAGCUAGGGGCUCCAUUUUCGCUUGUGUUUGAACUGGUCAAGACAAAAGUCGUAUAAUUUCUGAACAAGCAAGUGUUAGGUUAGCUCCUGGGCGUUGCAAGAAGAAACACUGAACUAAUCACAUCAGUCGUCAAGCACUCACGUCAAGGGAACGCUUGUAAUACAUUUGGCAAAUAAAUUCGAUUGGAAUGGU